GUGAGGAAUUUUCCGCAAUGGGCGAAAGCCUGACGGAGCAAUGCCGCGUGAAGGAUGAAGGCCUAUGGGUUGUAAACUUCUUUUCUCAGAAAAGAAUUAUGACGGUAUCUGAGGAAUAAGCAUCGGCUAACUCUGUGCCAGCAGCCGCGGUAAGACAGAGGAUGCAAGCGUUAUCCGGAAUGAUUGGGCGUAAAGCGUCUGUAGGUUGUUUAAAAAGUAUUCUGUCAAAGAUUAGGGCUUAACCCUAGAUAGGCAGAAUAAACUUUUAAGCUAGAGUUUGGUAGAGGCAGAGGGAAUUCCCGGUGGAGCGGUGAAAUGAGUAGAUAUCGGGAGGAACACCAAAGGCGAAGGCACUCUGCUGGGCCAAUACUAACACUGAGAGACGAAAGCGAGGGGAGCAAAUGGGAUUAGAAACCCGGGUAGUCC
rnacentral:rRNA from 1 species